rnacentral:rRNA from 1 species
CCUACGGGUGGCAGCAGUGAGGAAUAUUGGUCAAUGGGCGAGAGCCUGAACCAGCCAAGUCGCGUGAGGGAGUACUGCCCUAUGGGUUGUAAACCUCUUUUGUCGGGGAGCAAAAGCCGGACGUGUCCGGCUGUGAGAGUACCCGAAGAAAAAGCAUCGGCUAACUCCGUGCCAGCAGCCGCGGUAAUACGGAGGAUGCGAGCGUUAUCCGGAUUUAUUGGGUUUAAGGGGUGCGCAGGCGGAUUUUUAAGUCAGCGGUCAAAUCGUGGGGCUCAACCCCAUCCAGCCGUUGAAACUGGGGAUCAGGAGUGUGCGAGAGGCAGGCGGAGUGCGGGGUGGAGCGGAGAAAGGCAUAGAUA